rnacentral:rRNA from 1 species
UACGAAGGGGGCUAGCGUUGCUCGGAAUUACUGGGCGUAAAGCGCAUACGUAGGCGGAUCUUUAAGUCAGGGGUGAAAUCCUGGAGCUCAACGUCCAGAACUCGCCUUUGAUACUGAGGACCUUGAGUUCGGGAGAGGUGAGUGGAACUGCGAGUGUAGAGGUGAAAUUCGUAGAUAUUCGCAAAGAACACCAGUGGCGAAGGCGGCUCACUGGCCCGAUACUGACGCUGAGGUGCGGAAAGCG